GGACAGUGACGAUAGAAAAAGGUCUCGUUCGUCGUAAUAUCGGCCGUAAAAGGUCUAUUUGCCGACCAUUCUGUUAUAUUCUGAGUCC